rnacentral:rRNA from 2 species
GACAAAUGUUCAACGGCCGCGGUAUCCUAACCGUGCAAAGGUAGCAUAAUCAUUUGCCUAUUAAUUGUAGGCUAGAAUGAAGGGGUUAACGAAAUAAUAACUGUCUCAAUUAAUUACCUAAAAAUUAUUCUCUACUUGAAGAAAAGUAGAUCAUCUCGAAGGACAAGAAGACCCUAUAGAGCUUUAUUUUACUUAUAGAAUUAUACUAUAAUAAAUAUUCGGUUGGGGCGACCCCGGGCCAAAUAAUCACCCGCUAUAUAUAAGAUAAAUAAAUCAAACAAAUGACCCUUUAAAGAUCACAAGACCAAGCUACCUUAGGGAUAACAGGCUAAUCCUACUUAAGAGUCCUUAUCAACAGUAGGGUUUGGCACCUCGAUGUUGGCUUAGGGUAUCUAUAUGGCGCAAAAGUCAUAUA